rnacentral:rRNA from 1 species
AGAGUUUGAUCAUGGCUCAGAUUGAACGCUGGCGGCAGGCCUAACACAUGCAAGUCGAACGGUAACAGGAAGAAGCUUGCUUCUUUGCUGACGAGUGGCGGACGGGUGAGUAAUGUCUGGGAAACUGCCUGAUGGAGGGGGAUAACUACUGGAAACGGUAGCUAAUACCGCAUAACGUCGCAAGACCAAAGAGGGGGACCUUCGGGCCUCUUGCCAUCGGAUGUGCCCAGAUGGGAUUAGCUAGUAGGUGGGGUAACGGCUCACCUAGGCGACGAUCCCUAGCUGGUCUGAGAGGAUGACCAGCCACACUGGAACUGAGACACGGUCCAGACUCCUACGGGAGGCAGCAGUGGGGAAUAUUGCACAAUGGGCGCAAGCCUGAUGCAGCCAUGCCGCGUGUAUGAAGAAGGCCUUCGGGUUGUAAAGUACUUUCAGCGGGGAGGAAGGGAGUAAAGUUAAUACCUUUGCUCAUUGACGUUACCCGCAGAAGAAGCACCGGCUAACUCCGUGCCAGCAGCCGCGGUAAUACGGAGGGUGCAAGCGUUAAUCGGAAUUACUGGCGUAAAGCGCACGCAGGCGGUUUGUUAAGUCAGAUGUGAAAUCCCCGGGCUCAACCUGGGAACUGCAUCUGAUACUGGCAAGCUUGAGUCUCGUAGAGGGGGGUAGAAUUCCAGGUGUAGCGGUGAAAUGCGUAGAGAUCUGGAGGAAUACCGGUGGCGAAGGCGGCCCCCUGGACGAAGACUGACGCUCAGGUGCGAAAGCGUGGGGAGCAAACAGGAUUAGAUACCCUGGUAGUCCACGCCGUAAACGAUGUCGACUUGGAGGUUGUGCCCUUGAGGCGUGGCUUCCGGAGCUAACGCGUUAAGUCGACCGCCUGGGGAGUACGGCCGCAAGGUUAAAACUCAAAUGAAUUGACGGGGGCCCGCACAAGCGGUGGAGCAUGUGGUUUAAUUCGAUUCAACGCGAAGAACCUUACCUGGUCUUGACAUCCACAGAACUUUCCAGAGAUGGAUUGGUGCCUUCGGGAACUGUGAGACAGGUGCUGCAUGGCUGUCGUCAGCUCGUGUUGUGAAAUGUUGGGUUAAGUCCCGCAACGAGCGCAACCCUUAUCUUUUGUUGCCAGCGGUCCGGCCGGGAACUCAAAGGAGACUGCCAGUGGUAAACUGGAGGAAGGUGGGGAUGACGUCAAGUCAUUAUGGCCCUUACGACCAGGGCUACACACGUGCUACAAUGGCGCAUACAAAGAGAAGCGACCUCGCGAGAGCAAGCGGACCUCAUAAAGUGCGUCGUAGUCCGGAUUGGAGUCUGCAACUCGACUCCAUGAAGUCGGAAUCGCUAGUAAUCGUGGAUCAGAAUGCCACGGUGAAUACGUUCCCGGGCCUUGUACACACCGCCCGUCACACCAUGGGAGUGGGUUGCAAAAGAAGUAGGUAGCUUAACCUUCGGGAGGGCGCUUACCACUUUGUGAUUCAUGACUGGGGUGAAGUCGAACAAGGUAACCGUAGGGGAACCUGCGGUUG